CUCUCUCUCUCUCUCUCCACCGCUGCUGGAUCCAAGUCGCUCGACAAAAUGUUGCUAUGUUUCCAUGAAAUGCAAACUGCGGCGGAUGACCACACUCCAUAGAGACAAGCGAACACGCUAGGACCGAAUUUGCAUACACUGCACGCAAAGAUUUAUUUGGAAACGGUCAACAUGGCCAAUCAGAAGGAAGGAUACAUCAGUCUGCGAAAUCAUUUUGCAAUAUAUCUAUGUCCCAUGUGUAGUAGCCAUCACCAAUUCUAUUUGUGAUCCACAGCUUUCAAAUCUCUCUCUAUAUAUAGGGGUCUGACUGAGUCAAAUAUAAUGGUACAUGGAGCUAGCUAUCUAAGUUACUAUCUUAUCUAAGAUGUAAUUGAUGCUUUCUUUUGCCCAGUAGUAUGUAUUUCAAUGGAUUAACUACUGUAUUAGUCAUGUUUCAAUGGAUUAACUAUUGUGUUUGUCAUGUAAAACUAUGUGUCCUAUGACAUGUGACUUUCUAUGCACCUAUAAUCUCAAUGCCACUGGCUCUACUCUUCUACACUGAACUUCAUGUCUUGUUGCUCUUGAACAAGCUAAAAUACUUCUGUUUUAUCAUGGGCAUGAAAUCAAAUUAUCUGAGCGCCAUGGCACUCUCAGUGAUAAUAAAUUUAAUAACAUACGCUUAACAUGAAUUACUACUACUCAGCAUUACCUGCUUGAUCAAAACGUUGACACCGGCACCCUUGCGCCAAGGCGCGAUUCCGAUCUAGUAGUUUAUGAACUGUGAACUUGCUCUUGCGAGGACAAGAUAGCAUGUUAUCGUCGUAUUCCCACACAGGUAUGUGAAGCUCGCCCUCCGACCAGUCGCAAAUCAGCUCGUGCUUCCACACAAACUGCCGACGCCGGAGCUCUCCACACAAAAGUAUUGUGAUUGGAAAAGGAGCCGUUCAUGUUGUUUCCAGUA